UUCGUUUUGUUUUUUUCUUUUUUCUCCUUCCUUCUUAAGUACUUUUCCUAUGGCAGUUUGUUUGUUUUUAGCCUCUGGGCACUGCGAAUCAUGUAUUUCCUCCCUGCCCUGGUAGUUUUCAAGCUCAAAGGCAAAUUUGUAUUCUGCCAUGUGGAAUGUAUUCUUAGAAUAAAGCCACAUAGAAUUUUCCUACUCUUCUCUUUCAGUUUUUCUUAAUUUUUCAUCUCUUAUUGCAGAAUACAUACAUACAUAUAUAUCUUUUUAAGAUGUCCCAAUCCUUGGGGAAAGGCAGAGUGUAAACUGGUGUCACAGACUCAAUGCUACAGAUUGGGGAGGACAUCAGUAUUCAAACAUUAGCAGUAUAAGAAAAUGAGGAGAGAAACGCCCCACGAUCCCAAGGGUACUUCCCCAUACCAAGAUAUUCAAAUUCAAAUUCUUUCUGUUUUUCUUUGAAAUAUAUCCAGAAUCAACUCUACUGUCUGUUGUCUGGACCACUGCAGCAGCCUCCUAACUGUUCACUCUAUUUCCUACUUCUUUCUUCCUUACAACUUACUCCAGGAGCAGCCAGAAUAGUCACUUUUCAGAAGAUUUUAUUUUGAAAAGAUUUUUCCACCCAUUUGGAUUCGGGAAUAUGGGAUACAAUGUACACUUCUAAAAGAAUGGGAGGACUGCCUGUUAUUUGUGGGAUACUGUAGCUGUAAUUAAAGCCAUUUCUGAAAGCUAUGGGUUUCUUGUAAAUCAUACUCUUUCGCCUGACCCUUUGUAUUAUUAUUAUUAUACUAGUAAAAUUAGUUUUAAAACAUCCAGUCCUGUCUUGAAGGAAAAAGAGAAAAAGAAAUUUUCACCAAGCCAGUGUGCAGCCUGAGAGGUCUGUAUGAAAGAUGCGAGGGCCAGCCCUCUGCAUUCUAACCCUGCCACAGGACAGCCCUCCUUCCCAGCGGCUGUCUUCACCUGCCAGCCCCAAAGGGUAGAGUGUAGCUGCCUCCGUGGCACUUCCCACUCCCCUCCAUGUUACCCUCCAUAGAUAAG
rnacentral:lncRNA from 1 species